CGGAGCAACGCCGCGUGAGCGAUGAAGGCCUUCGGGUCGUAAAGCUCUGUUGUUAGGGAAGAACAAGUAUCGUUCGAAUAGGGCGGUACCUUGACGGUACCUAACCAGAAAGCCACGGCUAACUACGUGCCAGCAGCCGCGGUAAUACGUAGGUGGCAAGCGUUGUCCGGAAUUAUUGGGCGUAAAGCGCGCGCAGGCGGUCCUUUAAGUCUGAUGUGAAAGCCCACGGCUCAACCGUGGAGGGUCAUUGGAAACUGGGGGACUUGAGUACAGAAGAGGAAAGUGGAAUUCCACGUGUAGCGGUGAAAUGCGUAGAGAUGUGGAGGAACACCAGUGGCGAAGGCGACUUUCUGGUCUGUAACUGACGCUGAGGCGCGAAAGCGUGGGGAGCAAACAGGAUUAGAUACCCUGGUAGUCCACGCCGUAAACGAUGAGUGCUAAGUGUUAGAGGGUUUCCGCCCUUUAGUGCUGCAGCUAACGCAUUAAGCACUCCGCCUGGGGAGUACGGUCGCAAGACUG
rnacentral:rRNA from 1 species